rnacentral:rRNA from 1 species
GUAGGGAAUAUUGGACAAUGGGCGAAAGCCUGAUCCAGCAAUGCCGCGUGAGUGAUGAAGGCCUUAGGGUUGUAAAGCUCUUUUACCAGGGAUGAUAAUGACAGUACCUGGAGAAUAAGCUCCGGCUAACUCCGUGCCAGCAGCCGCGGUAAUACGGAGGGAGCUAGCGUUGUUCGGAAUUACUGGGCGUAAAGCGCGCGUAGGCAGCGAUUUAAGUCAGAGGUGAAAGCCCGGGGCUCAACCCCGGAAUAGCCUUUGAGACUGGAUUGCUAGAAUCCUGGAGAGGUGAGUGGAAUUCCGAGUGUAGAGGUGAAAUUCGUAGAUAUUCGGAAGAACACCAGUGGCAAAGGCGGCUCACUGGACAGGUAUUGACGCUGAGGUGCGAAAGCGUGGGGAGCAAACAGGAUUAGAAACCCCAGUAGUCC